CAGCCCUAAACGAUGCGCGUUAGGUGUAUCGGUGACCACGAGUCACCGAGGUGCCGAAGGGAAACCGUGAAACGUGCCGCCUGGGAAGUACGGUCGCAAGGCUGAAACUUAAAGGAAUUGGCGGGGGGAGCACCACAACGGGUGGAGCCUGCGGUUUAAUUGGACUCAACGCCGGGAAGCUCACCGGAUAAGACAGCGGAAUGAUUGCCGGGCUGAAGACCCUGCAUGACCAGCUGAGAGGAGGUGCAUGGCGUAGACGU
rnacentral:rRNA from 1 species